rnacentral:tRNA from 1 species
GGAGGGGUGCCCGAGUGGUUAAAGGGGACUGACUGUAAAUCAGUUGGCUGAGCCUACGGCGGUUCGAAUCCGUCCCCCUCCA